AUUUACUCAAACAAAGAUAACAAAUAGAAAAUUAUUAGAUUCUUUUGGGUAAGAGAAAAAAGAAGAGAAGAUCAUAGAAAACACGACACAGCCUAGGACGGGAACGUCGCUGUAUUGUGUUGCUUGUGGCAAAUGAACUUCUGGGCGGUCCCGACGUGCUUCUCUAAGCAAUAAAAUCUUGGUUUUUCAGGACCCCAAAUUAUUCAAACAUAAAAUAAAAUAAAAUUUUGGUUUUUAAUUUCGUUCAAACAACUCUCUGGGAACCAUUCAAAAAACUCGUGGCUUUAAGCAUUUAGUCUUUAACAAAGAUUCCUUCUUUUCUUUUUUGGGGUUCGAAGCUUACUACAUCAUCCCUUCCCUCCAGGACGACUUCCACCUAAAAACCCUUUAAGGCUAUAGUAGGAUGGUUCAAUGAUGUUAACGGUGAAUCCUCCGGGAGCCAUCAGCAAAAGCCAGGCCGCGUUUCUGGGCAAUAUUACCCUUUUCUGUAAACUGCCUUCUGCUGCGAUUCACCGUAAGCUACCUGCAGGGAUUCACUGCAAUUUGCCAUCCUGGAAAGAUUCCAGGAAGCUUACUACCCAUCAUCUUGUAUCACAUCGAGUUGCUCCAAAGAGAUGGCUGUGUCAAUCAAGUGGUUCUGUUUCAUCGGAUGAUGAGUAUCGUUCAUCAAGGAAUAUAGCAAUCAGCCUGUUUAGGCGAUACAGGAAUGUCAUCGACCGUGGAGGAGGUGACAACCUAAAAGAGUUCAUUAGUGCUGGGGUCAAUGCCUAUGCAUUGGGCUGCACAGAUGAAGGAUUGCGGAAAGAACUUAUUGCCAUGAAAGAAUCUGGCAUCGAAAUCGAAGCAAUGCAGAACUAUGGCGGAAGCACCAGCUUGAAAUCCAAGAUUUGUGCAGAGGAGGUGGAUGAGUGUAUUUUAUGGCUGAGCAUUAUAUUCAUCACCAUAUUGUGUACACCACAGCCGACCAUCGUCAGAUGGUCCUCUACACCUCCAGUGUCAGAUGAUGUCCUGCAUCAGUGGAAAGGCUUCUGUGCUCUCAUAGCAAAUGCAUAUUAUAUAAGAGGAAUGGCAUGGCUUCCAGUAAAGACUCUCCAGCUAGAGCAAAUGGCCGUGGUUGGACGAGCUGAGGAGCCAUCAGUUGUUGCUAGCCGAAUGCGACUAGUUUUUAGCACACUUGAGGUAGUUAGUCCACAGUGGCCAAGAGUCUAAUAAGUUGUUUUGACAUUGAAGACAUCCGGUUUUCCGAGGAUCUUAUGUUGGAGCUUUGGUUCUUUUUAUUGCAGGCAUGCAUAGAUUUGUGAAGUGGAUUUUCAUGGGAUAAACUAGUAUGCAGCUCAUGCUAUGCAUUAUGCUUCAGAUGAUGCUUUCUUCAAUUCCAUGAACAAAUCAAAUAAAUGUUAAGCUUAACAGGAC